rnacentral:other from 1 species
CAUUCUCUGCAGUGUUAGUUAGUGAUCUUGUUUAAACCCUUGAGCCUAAUUAUAAAACCCGGAGACUGAAGCAACAUGGUUGUUGUGCAUGCCUGGCCCUAGCUUGCUAGGAAACCGGGAAGCCUGAUACCGUGCCGAAGUUUCCACCUGAACCUCCCGGUUCAAGGUUGAUAGACACGACGGCAUUGCGGAGAGUGU